AUUCCAGCUCCAAUAGCGUAUAUUAAAGUUGUUGCAGUUAAAAAGCUCGUAGUCGGAUUUUGGCAUCACGCCGAACUGUCUGCCGAUUGGUAAGUACGGUUUGGCGGGUGCUUCCUUCCGGAGGCUCGUUCCCUUCUUCAUUGAAGGGUUCGUUGGUUCCGGGUCUUUUACUUUGAGAAAAUUAGAGUGUUCAAAGCAGGCCUAUGCUCUGAAUAGGUUAGCAUGGAAUAAUAGAAUAGGACUUUGGUUCUAUUUUGUUGGUUUUCGGAAAUCGACUUAAUGAUUAAUAGGGACAGUCGGGGGCAUUUGUAUUCAGACGACAGAGGUGAAAUUCUUGGACCGUUUGAAGACAAACUACUGCGAAAGCAUUUGCCAAGAAUGUUUUCAUUG
rnacentral:rRNA from 1 species